UACGUAGGUGACCAGCGUUGUCCGGAUUUACUGGGCGUAAAGAGCGCGCAGGCGGUCGUUCAAGUCGAGUGUGAAAGCCCCCGGCUCAACCGGGGAGAGUCGUCGGGGACCGCACCGCUUGAGGGCGGUAGGGGCUGGUGGAAUGCCUGGUGGUAGUGGUGAAAUGCGUAGGAGAUCAGGCAGAACACCUGGGGCGAAGGCGGCCAGCCUGGGACCGGCCAUGACGCUGAGGCGCGAAGCGUGGGGAGCAACGGG
rnacentral:rRNA from 1 species